CUUAAACAUAUGACGAUAAACACGUCUCACACCUAAUAAAUAUUAAAAUGUUAUUUAUAAAUUAAUUACUAAUUAUAUGUUUAGUGUGUUUUAAGCAUUAAAUAAUAACAGUGCUCAGUGAAGUAUUAGAUAGAGAAGUGUUCAUGUUCACGUGAGUCGAGUCGCACAAAUUGGAAGUCAGAAAAGCAUCAACUGAAGAUUUGGGCGUAGAUACAAUGUCGGCGCCAGUAUGGAAGAUGUUCUACUUACUAGGAGCCACGCACUUCAAGUACUUUGGCAAUUAGUUUCAUUUAAGUCAUACUUCUUCAAAGUCGUAUAAUAUGCAACUCUUAAUAUUAUAAGUGUCAAUUAGCAUAAUACAUGUAUUAUUAAACAAUUAAA